GAUGAACGCUGGCGGCGUGCCUAAUACAUGCAAGUCGAGCGAACAGACGAGGAGCUUGCUCCUCUGACGUUAGCGGCGGACGGGUGAGUAACACGUGUAUAACCUACCUAUAAGACUGGGAUAACUUCGGGAAACCGGAGCUAAUACCGGAUAAUAUAUUGAACCGCAGGGUUCAAUGGUGAAAGACGGUUUUGCUGUCACUUAUAGAUGGAUCCGCGCCGCAUUAGCUAGUUGGUAAGGUAACGGCUUACCAAGGCGACGAUGCGUAGCCGACCUGAGAGGGUGAUCGGCCACACUGGAACUGAGACACGGUCCAGACUACUACGGGAGGCAGCAGUAGGGAAUCUUCCGCAAUGGGCGAAAGCCUGACGGAGCAACGCCGCGUGAGUGAUGAAGGUCUUCGGAUCGUAAAACUCUGUUAUUAGGGAAGAACAAAUGUGUAAGUAACUAUGCACGUCUUGACGGUACCUAAUCAGAAAGCCACGGCUAACUACGUG
rnacentral:rRNA from 1 species